rnacentral:rRNA from 1 species
UUUAACUGAAGAGUUUGAUCAUGGCUCAGAUUGAACGCUGGCGGCAGGCUUAACACAUGCAAGUCGAGCGGGGGAAGGUAGCUUGCUACCGGACCUAGCGGCGGACGGGUGA